GAUGAACGCUGGCGGCGUGCCUAAUACAUGCAAGUCGAGCGAAGCGGGGACGGGUGAGUAACACCUGGAUAACCUCCUAUAAUGCUGGGAUAACUUCGGUACACCGGAGCUAACCCGGAUACUUACAGAUGGCUCUGCGCUGCAUUAGCUAGUUGGUAAGGUAACGGCUUACCAAGGCAACGAUGCAUAGCCGACCUGAGAGGGUGAUAGGCCACACUGGAACUGAGACACGGUCCAGACUCCUACGGGAGGCAGAAGUAGAGAAACGUCCGUAAUGGGCGAAAGCCUGACGGAGCAACGCCGAGUGAGGGAGGAAGGUCUUCGGAUAGUAAAGCUCUGUUAUUAGGGAAGCGGUACCUAAUCAGAAAGCGACGGCUAACGACGUGCCAGCAGCCGCGGUAAUUC
rnacentral:rRNA from 1 species